AAAGCCCCGCAAGGGGUAAGUAGAGUGGCAAACGGGUGAGUAACACGUGGGUGAUCUGCCUCGAAGUGGGGGAUAACGACCCGAAAGGGUCGCUAAUACCGCAUGACAUCCUGCCUUUGGAUAGGUGGAGAUCAAAGCCGGGGAUCGCAAGACCUGGCGCUUGGAGAGGAGCCCGCGGCCGAUUAGCUAGUUGGUGAGGUAACGGCUCACCAAGGCGACGAUCGGUAUCCGGCCUGAGAGGGCGGACGGACACACUGGGACUGAGACACGGCCCAGACUCCUACGGGAGGCAGCAGUGGGGAAUUGUUCGCAAUGGGCGCAAGCCUGACGACGCAACGCCGCGUGGAGGACGAAGAUCUUCGGGUCGUAAACUCCUUUCGAUCGGGAAGAACGCCUUCGGGGUGAACAGCCCUGAAGGGUGACGGUACCGAGAGAAGAAGCCCCGGCUAACUCUGUGCCAGCAGCCGCGGUAAUACAGGGGGGGCAAGCGUUGUUCGGAAUUACUGGGCGUAAAGGGCUCGUAGGCGGCCAACUAAGUCACACGUGAAAUCCCCAGGCUUAACCUGGGAACUGCGUGUGAUACUGGAUGGCUUGAAUUCGGGAGAGGGAUGCAGAAUUCCAGGUGUAGCGGUGAAAUGCGUAGAUAUCUGGAGGAAUACCGGUGGCGAAGGCGGCAUCCUGGACCGACAUUGACGCUGAGGAGCGAAAGCUAGGGGAGCAAACGGGAUUAGAUACCCCGGUAGUCCUAGCCCUAAACGAUGAAUGCUUGGUGUGGCGGGUAUCGA
rnacentral:rRNA from 1 species